rnacentral:rRNA from 1 species
UACAGAGGGUGCGAGCGUUGUCCGGAAUCACUGGGCGUAAAGGGCGCGUAGGCGGCCAGCGCAAGUCAGUUGUGAAAUCUCCGGGCUUAACUCGGAAAGGUCAACUGAUACUGCGCGGCUAGAGUGCAGAAGGGGCAACUGGAAUUCUCGGUGUAGCGGUGAAAUGCGUAGAUAUCGAGAGGAACACCUGCGGCGAAGGCGGGUUGCUGGGCUGACACUGACGCUGAUGCGCGAAAGCCAGGGGAGCGAACGGG